AGAAGUUCUUACUCCUUACUGGCACGAGGGUUUUUCUUGUUCGUUUAUGUUUAUGCUAAAAAAUUACAUUCCAGACCAUGAUUUUUGUGAUUAGACAUGUCCUUCUGGUGCUUUUUUGAUUUCUGCCUCUAAUCUUCAUAUUCGAUCUUUCGAUGGGCUAACCUCUAAGUUGUUUUCCCUUUGAAGGAGGAGAAAGUAUUGCGUUAGGCCGAAAAACGAUGUGUAUAGUUUUCUCUGGAUUGGCACGUUUUUAGGUACCCUGUGCCUUACAAAUUCUAAAUUUUUACCCCCCCCCCAAUGACAAACCAGGAUCCGCCCUUAGAACUGCGUACAUCAAUGGACCGAACACUCCCGCUACCUUCUUGCUAUCUCGAUCCAACAGAGUAAAAUCUUCUGGUGUCGUCCUCAACGAAGGGGUCUUUCCGUA